rnacentral:snRNA from 1 species
GUGCUCACUUUGACAGCACAUACACUAAAACUGGAGUGAUACAGAGAAAAUUAGCAUGGUCCAUGAGCGAGGAUGACAUACAAAUUAAUGAAGUGCUCCAUAUUAAA